rnacentral:rRNA from 1 species
AGAGUUUGAUCAUGGCUCAGGAUGAACGUUGGCGGUGUGCCUAAUACAUGCAAGUCGAACGAAGAUUGUAGCAAUACUGUCUUAGUGGCGAACGGGUGAGUAACGCGUUGGUGAUCUGCCUCGAAGUGUGGAAUAACCUCCCGAAAGGGAAGCUAAUACCGCAUGGUCUCUCAAGGUUUAGAAAAUUGAGAGUAAAGGAUUUAUUCGCUUCGAGAGGAGCCUGCGUCCCAUCAGCUAGUUGGUAGGGUAACGGCCUACCAAGGCUAUGACGGGUAGGGGACCUGAGAGGGUGGCCCCCCACAAUGGAACUGAAACACGGUCCAUACACCUACGGGUGGCAGCAGUAGGGAAUAUUAGAAAUGGGCGAAAGCCUGAUCUAGCAACACCGCGUGUGCGAUGAAGGCCUUCGGGUUGUAAAGCACUUUUUGGAGGGAAUAGGAAGGAAGGUACCUCCAGAAUAAGUCUCGGCUAACUACGUGCCAGCAGCCGCGGUAACACGUAGGAGGCAAACGUUAUCCGGAUUCACUGGGCGUAAAGCGCGUGCAGGUGGUUCCGUAAGUAGGGCGUGAAAGCUCCCGGCUCAACUGGGAGAGGCCGUACUAAACUGCGGAGCUAGAGGAUGGUAGAGGGAGGUGGAAUUCCAGGUGUAGUGGUGAAUGCGCAGAUAUCUGGAGGAACACCAGUGGCGAAAGCGGCCUCCUGGACCAUUCCUGACACU